AACCCUUUUCUCUUUCAUAGGCCACGAUCUCCACCUCUUCCACUUCUUCUCCUCCAAAAUCUCUCCAUAGAUCUGAAAUCAUAUACCGUUCCUCUAUAUGUUCCUCUAUAUUCCAUGGUUUUAUUUUUUCUUGCUCUGUUUCUGUUUUAUCUGAGUGGAUUCAAUUUCUCUUAUAAAUCUUUUUCCAUAGGAUUUUUAUGUAAUCAAUCAAUGCCUAUGCUUCUCCUGUCUCACAAAUACUCGAGGAGCACCAACGAAUUUUGGCUUCUCAACACGUAGCCUUAAAACCCAUUUUGGUUUCUUUUGAAACUUAUGUGGGAGAACAUAACAGCCAAGCAUGGGACGGCCAUUUGUUGAUAAGUUCUUUACUUUCAAGCUUUGGAUGUAAAGGAAUGUUUGCAAACUGAAUUACUGAUGAUGAGAAGAGGAACACAUUAUUAUUGGUUGGAGCUAAUGAAUAACCGGAUAUCGCCAACAAAUGUGUGCAGGCUGCCAAAAAAAUAUGUAUUAGAAAAGAAUCAAAGCAGGAGAAUGAGAGUAAGUACAAGAGGAAAUGUAUAUACCCCAGCCUAAUUAUUGUACUUAUACUUCUCUUAUAUUUCUAAGCUCUCUAAGUAUUAGUUAUUACUGUAUUGCAAUUGAUUGAUUCGCUAUUAGGCAGAUAAGUUGUACAUUUUCUUAUAUUUUUUUCUUAACCUAUUGUAUAUUCUUCGGUCAUUGACAAACAAGUUGUUGUAUAUUUAUGCUGUCAUAAUUAUUUUAAAAGUCUUAGUUAA